GGGAGGUAGUGACAAUAAAUAACAAUACAGGGUUCUUUUGGAUCUUGUAAUUGGAAUGAGUACAAUUUAAAUCUCUUAACGAGGAACAAUUGGAGGGCAAGUCUGGUGCCAGCAGCCGCGGUAAUUCCAGCUCCAAUAGCGUAUAUUAAAGUUGUUGCAGUUAAAAAGCUCGUAGUUGAAUUUCGGGAUCAAUAUGUUGGUCGUGCCUUGGUACGUACUAAUUUAUUGGUUUCUUCCUUCUGACGAACCUUGAUGUCAUUAAUUUGGUGUCUUGGGGAAUCAGGACUGUUACUUUGAAAAAUUAGAGUGUUUAAAGCAGGCUCACGCUUGAAUACAUUAGCAUGGAAUAAUGAAAUAGGACGUUUGAUUCUAUUUUGUUGGUUUCUAGGAUCGACGUAAUGAUUAAUAGGGAUAGUUGGG
rnacentral:rRNA from 1 species